UACGGAGGAUGCAAGCGUUAUCCGGAAUGAUUGGGCGUAAAGCGUCCGCAGGUGGCAAUGUAAGUCUGCUGUCAAAGCGUCUGGCUCAACCAGAUAAAGGCAGUGGAAACUACAUAGCUAGAGUAAGGUAGGGGUAGAGGGAAUUCCUGGUGUAGCGGUGAAAUACGUAGAGAUCAGGAAGAACACCGGUGGCGAAAGCGCUCUGCUGGACCUUAACUGACACUGAGGGACGAAAGCUAGGGGAGCGAAUGGG
rnacentral:rRNA from 1 species